rnacentral:rRNA from 1 species
AUUGAACGCUGGCGGCAGGCCUAACACAUGCAAGUCGAACGAGUGGCGGACGGGUGAGUAAUGUCUGGGAAACUGCCCGAUGGAGGGGGAUAACUACUGGAAACGGUAGCUAAUACCGCAUACCAUCGGAUGUGCCCAGAUGGGAUUGGCUUGUAGGUGAGGUAACGGCUCACCUAGGCGACGAUCCCUAGCUGGUCUGAGAGGAUGACCAGCGACACGGGAACUGAGACACGGGCGAGACGCGUACGGGAGGCAGCAGGGGGGAGUAUGGCACAAUGGGCGCAAGCCUGAUGCAGACAUGCCGAGUGGAUGAAGAAGGCCGUCGGGUUGUAAAGUACUUUCAGCGGGGAGGCGUUACCAGCAGAAGAAGCACCGGCUAACUCCGUGCCAGCAGCCGCGGUAAUUC